CUCUUCUUGUAUGUUUACUAUUAUAUCUAUUUGACUUAGAUUUAAUGAGUUAAUAUUUAUCAGGAAAACACACACUGAUAGAUGGGAUGGCACAAAGGUAUAGAUAGAUAUUGCUGGAGUUUAUGAUAUCAUAAUCCUCCCAGGCUAGAAUGCUGUUGCCUGUAAAGCACAGAGAAUAUUGCUGGACCUACUUAGCUAUCUUGACUGAUAAUAACCUUAAAUAAUAGGCAUAUUCCAAUUUUCCUUAGAGACUUAUCAACCUAUUUUUGUUUAAGACAUUUGUGUCUUUUUUGCUGAGGGCUGAGGUUGGGAAGUAGUAUAUACAGCUAAAAAAAGGACUGAUUAUCACAGUAACUCCUGGAUUGUCAUUGGGAAGGAGAAGAAAAGAAAGAGAAGAGGACUCUUCUUCAGUUGAAACAAAUUUUUAGGCCAGCAGCCAGACCCUUUUGCCAGUUACACCUCCACUACAUCAAGACAAAACUUCAAGACCCUACUCAAGUCCUUUAACUCCUCCCAGGAUGGGGAAGAUGUUUCUAGAAAAAUCGUAACAUCAGGUCAAAGGCAAGCUACAUCCAUCCCAAAGCAUGACAUGCCCAAUUAUUGAAACUGACAAUGGAAGAAUAUGAAGGUGAAGUAGACCUGGAGAUUGGUGAUAUUACUAUGUUUUAUUUUUUGAUGCACCAAAUAAAUGAGAUUUCC
ensembl:lincRNA